UCCGAGUUGACCCCGGCAGUCUCCUACGAGUCCCCGGCAUUACCCGCUGGCAACAUAGGACAAGGGUUGCGCUCGUUGCGGGACUUAACCCAACACCUCACGGCACGAGCUGACGACAACCAUGCAGCACCUGUGCUGGCUCCCCGAAGGGUCCCUUCCCUUUCAGGUUGGUAGCACCAGCAUGUCAAGCCCAGGUAAGGUUCUUCGCGUAGCGUCGAAUUAAACCACACGCUCCGCUGCUUGUGCGGGCCCCCGUCAAUUCCUUUGAGUUUUAGCCUUGCGGCCGUACUCCCCAGGCGGGACACUUAAUGCGUUAGCUUCGGCACAGAGGGGGUCGAUACCCCCCACACCUAGUGUCCAUCGUUUACGGCGUGGACUAC
rnacentral:misc_RNA from 1 species